GAUGAAGAACGCAGUGAAAUGCGAUACGUAAUGUGAAUUGCAGAAUUCAGUGAAUCAUCGAAUCUUUGAACGCACAUUGCACUCCUUGGUAUUCCGAGGAGUAUGCCUGUUUCAGUAUCAUGAGCACUCUCACAUCUAACCUUUGGGUUAAAAUGUGGAAUUGGGAUGCGCCGGUUAUUAUAACGGCCCUCCUAAAAUUCAGUUCUUGGCUGCCUCCUACUACAGCAGUUUGGCCUAAUAGUUUUGAGUCUUCGAUUCAAAUCUUUGGCUAACAUUUGCUUCAGGAUGUCAGUCUUGAUAUACAGAAAUCUCAUUCAAACUUUGAUCUGAAAUCAGGUAGGGCUACCCGCUGAACUUAAGCAUAUCAAUAAGCGGAGGA
rnacentral:misc_RNA from 1 species